UACGUAGGGUGCGAGCGUUGUCCGGAAUUAUUGGGCGUAAAGGGGCUCGUAGGCGGUUUGUCGCGUCGGGAGUGAAAACCAUGAGCUUAACUCAUGGCUUGCUUUCGAUACGGGCAGACUAGAGGUAUGCAGGGGAGAACGGAAUUCCUGGUGUGCGGUGGAAUGCGCAGAUAUCAGGAGGAACACCAACGGCGAAGGCAGCUCGCUGGGACGGUACUGACGCUAAGGCGCGAAAGCGUGGGGAGCGAACAGG
rnacentral:rRNA from 1 species